UUACCUCGAAAUCUGGAGUGUUAUUUGCUAAUUAUAAGAACAUGACACCGCUGCAUGUUUUCAGCCUUAAGGUUCUGGCUAUGUGUUGCUACCUCCAGGAGAUGAAUUGUUCUUUGCAUGACAUGAACUAAAGGGUUAAGUUUACUGAAUCAUUUAUUUGGAAAGUAAUUGUAUCAAAUUGGUAAUAAAUCGUCCCUAUUAUCUCUUUUACACUCAAAGGCUUAAAGCAAAAAUGUCAACAAUGUAAAAACCUACUUCAUGUAAUAGUUUAUAUUUUUACGUGUGAAAAUAUGUUCUUUUUGUUUAAUAAUAGAAAUGUAAUAUUUUUCUCACCUUGGAGUAAUUUUCCUAAUGAUGUGGCAACUCUAUCCAUCUAUGUAAUUUUUUGCAAACCUAACUAGUCCAAGUCCUAUAUAAAGCACAUACUUGGACUCAAUAUCUUCACAACUCUAUCAAUUAGCUUCUUUUGAUAGCCUCUGCUCUCAUUCUGUUUGUUUUUCUUGGUCAUUGCUUCAAAGUAGCAAAGCUUGCAUGAAGAUCCAAAAGGAUCAAAUUGCUUUUAUACUUGCUAUCAUGAAAAAUCCUAGAAAAAAGAAAAAGACAUAUUUAAUCUUCAACAAAUAUCAUAUUAAGUCAGCGAUCCACCAGAAUAGCCUCUAUAGAACUGGAGAUGUUGUGGCAGAAUAGGAUGCUUACUGCUCAUUUACUGAGUUGAGGCCAUGAUUAUUAUUCAUGGCUGUUUGCGACGUACCAAUGAGGGCACCAUUCGUCAACUUAUCUAGAUUCUAACCAUACACCAAAGCUUUAUGUCGAAAUGGCUUAAUAGCCUGUCAUUUCUAUUCAAAAAAAUUUGCCUGCUAUUUAUGUUAAUGUAAUUUAACAUUACUCAGCAGCUCGAUCCUGUAGAAAUGAUGGCCUAUUAAAGCUAUUGGGGAAGAAAGCUACGGUUGUGGGUUCGUAUCUUGAUCUCCUAACCUAAAUUCUUCAUCUUCUUCUUUCGCAACCCAAUGGAUACGAAGUGGCAAGAGAAAUGAUCUCUUUCUCACUCCAUAAGACUGCCACUUGUAGAAUGAAGCUCUUCCGAGAAGAUUCUUCUGCAGAUUGUUUCUACGACGAGAACAUUCUUAUGUAGAAUGAAGCUCUUCCAAGAAGAUUCUUCUGCAGAUAGAAGCUACUCCGAGAAGAUUCAUCUGUAGAAUGAAGCUCUUCCCAGAAAGUUCUUUUGAGUUGAGAAUCCUUCUAUUAUAUCCAGAGGAGUUGCGAGUUCUAGAAGAUGGAAAAACUACAAUGUGCUGAAGUUUGGCCGAGUUACUUGGCGCACUUGAUCCUUGUCCAUGACAACCAGCUCAUGCAAGGAGGCCUAAUAUUUGACAAUAGACAUUUCAACUCGGUCAUGUCAGCCCAUUGCAAAUGUUUUUUUCUUUUUGUACUUUGCCUACGUUUUGUUGCUUUGUCAGUCCAUUGCAACUUUUUUUGCCUACGUUUUGUUGCUUUGUCAGUCCAUUGCAACUUUUUUUUUUUUUUUUUUGUGUGUAGUACUUUGCCUACGUUUAGUUGCUUAGGAGCCAUUAAGACUCUUUGUCUCCACACAUGCCAUUUCUUGUACCAGGAGGAGAGGAUUUGUUGGUUGAUGUAUCAAUUGGAUUACAAAUGAAGUAUUGUAUCAGAGGGUGAAGUAAGUUUAACUAAGAAGCUUAUGGGAAGUUGACUUGUAAAUCGGAGAUUGAGGUUUGAAAAUUGUACUCUCCCGAUUUUUAGUUGUUACACUAUUCAAAAAUUUCACUUUGAUCAUCUUUUGUGAUUUAUAUGUGAAUAAAAACAUGGUCACAUGAGAUCUUGUUAGAUUCGUCUUAAUAUGUACUUUUUAUAAUUUUACAGAUAUGAAACUAGAGAUAUUAGUACUCAAAGUUUUACAUUGACAUGAAUGAAAAGUGUAAGUGUAACAAUUAUUUGUAAUUAGAGGGAGUAUAUUAUUGGCGUUCAUCGUUCCCUAUAAAAAUAGAAGUAUCGUAUCUUAUUUUC